GAUAAUUUGGCAACAUUGACACAAGUACUUCUUUCUGAAUGGUGCCAUGUCUAUAAAAGUAUCUUCCUUUCUCACCAAAGAAUGAUCCAAGAUUACAACUCCAACUCCCUGAGAGGGUCUGUUUUCAGACAAUGGAGACGCUUUUAAUUAGGCUAUUUGAGUAGAUUUUCUUCCUCUAAAUGUCUGUUGCAUUAAUGGGAUCGCUUUUAGUCUCCUGAAUGCACUUAAAAAGACAUGGAAACCUGUUUAAGACCAGAUGCACUGAUGGGCUUUUCUCCAGUAGUUGGGAGAGAAGAAAAUGAAGCUGAAACUGUCAGAAAAAUGACAGGGAACAGAGGCCCAUGGGAGCAAAGAAUGAACCUGUUCUGUGUAUUUUGGAGCAAUUUCUGUUCAUUACUUGCGUGUGAUUAGUUUCUGGGCAAGUGACCAACAGGGAAAUAAAUGGAUCUAAUUCAAAUGUUGAACAUACUGGCAGGGACAGGAGAAGCACAAAAGCAUAGGCUGAGCCCCAACAACAGAGCAUUCUCCAAGCUAGGUGGGAGCCAGGCAGGGACUGGGUAUGAAGAAGGCCUGGCUCAAAGGGGCCGCAGUGACUGAGUACAAUGGACAGUUGAUGAUGCCCAUUGAUUCUGAUAAAAGGAAAAUGCAGUUGUCUUGUAUUCCUGCAUUCCUCUACAGGGAGAAAAGUGAUCUGGAGCCUUCAGAAUACGGACAGGUUGUACUGUCUGAGCGCUUGUUUAGGGAUUUGUGGAAUGAAUCCCAUUCAGUAUGGACUAUGGAGUGGGACUAGCAGUCAUUCAGGCUCCCUGGAGCUCAAGUCAUUACUGAGUUCAGGUGAAGAGGCUUAUCAUCCAAAAGUGUCUACUGGAAUGGAUUAUCUAAAUCUAAAUCCUAUGAUCUCCUGGCAAAGAUGGAAUUAGAACUCUGGACUCUGGAUUCUUAAGAUGGAUACUUACGCAAAACUCGAACUCCAUGCUUUAGAGCUUGGACACGGCUGGGUUCUAUGGACAUACUGAGCAUGGUCUG